rnacentral:rRNA from 1 species
UACGGGGGGGGUAAGCGUUGUUCGGAAUUACUGGGCGUAAAGGGCUCGUAGGCGGCCAACUAAGUCAGACGUGAAAUCCCUCAGCUUAACUGGGGAACUGCGUCUGAUACUGGAUGGCUUGGAUUCGGGAGAGGAAUGCGGAAUUCCAGGUGUAGCGGUGAAAUGCGUAGAUAUCUGGAGGAACACCGGAGGCGAAAGCGGUCCACUGGGCAACUUCUGACGCUGAGGUGCGAAAGCUAGGGUAGCAAACGGG